AUUGAACGCUGGCGGCAUGCCUUACACAUGCAAGUCGAACGGCAGCACGGGAGCAAUCCUGGUGGCGAGUGGCGAACGGGUGAGUAAAGUAUCGGAACGUGCCCAGUCGUGGGGGAUAACGUAGCGAAAGUUACGCUAAUACCGCAUACGAUCUAUGGAUGAAAGCGGGGGAUCGCAAGACCUCGAGCGGUUCGACCGGCCGAAAUCAGAUUAGGUGGUUGGUGGGGUAAAGGCUCACCAAGCCGAAGAUAUGUAGCUGGUCUGAGAGGACGACCAGCCACACUGGGACUGAGACACGGCCCAGACUCCUACGGGAGGCAGCAGUGGGGAAUUUUGGACAAUGGGCGAAAGCCUGAUCCAGCCAUGCCGCGUGCAGGAUGAAGGCCUUCGGGUUGUAAACUGCUUUUGUACGGAACGAAAAGGUUUGGCCUAAUAAGCUGAGCUCAUGACGGUACCGUAAGAAUAAGCACCGGCUAACUACGUGCCAGCCGCCGCAGUAA
rnacentral:rRNA from 1 species